AUCAACAGGAUCCAGUUGAUGUUCAAAUUGACAGGCUCCUGGAUCAGAACUAACCUUUAAAUGGUAGCAAUAAAAGAAGCUUUGUGAAGAGUUGACCCAAACCCAAUCUUAACUUGCAAAAGGAGGAAAGCUGAAGUUGAAGGUUUGAGGCCAUCAAUCUUGUGGCAUAUCUUAGGUGGAAAACAUCAGCAAACUAGCCAAGAAAAGGAUUACUGACCAAAAGUGAAGGAAAACAGCUAACAGAUAGUCUGAAAUUUACAUGGAAAACCAGUGCAGGAAACACUGGAAGAUGGAAAACAAUGGAAUAUUGAGGAAUGGCCUACCUUCUCUCAUAAGGAAUCUAAAAAUACAAAAUGUAACUGCCUGUAUUCUUCAGCGUUCUCCAGAGAAACAGAACUAAACGGAUGUGUGACUUAUGUGAGAUUGAUGCAUUAUAAGGAAUUGGCUGACUGGCUCAUGCAACUGCGGAGGCUAACAAAUCCCAGGAUCUGUAAGGAGAAUGAAGUCGAUGAAGAAAUGAUUUAUAAUCCACCUUCCAUGGAGGAAAGAUGACGUGGACCCAGUUUUAGAGAGCAGGCAUCCUCCUGGACACAUUCAGGUAUGUUUCUGCCUGGGAGACAAAUAUGAGAGUCCUUUGCCUAUGACAGCUGCUACUUCCUCAAUGGACCAUUCUUUCCCCUUCUCUUAUAAAAGUGUACCCAUCCUUCAGGACUCAAGGCAAAUGCCUCCUCCACCUUCUC